rnacentral:rRNA from 1 species
UACGGGGGGAGCAAGCGUUGUUCGGAUUUACUGGGCGUAAAGGGCGCGUAGGCGGCCACCGCAAGUCGACUGUGAAAUCUCCGGGCUUAACUCGGAAAGGUCAGCCGAUACUGCGGGGCUAGAGUGCGGUAGGGGAGACUGGAAUUCCUGGUGUAGCGGUGAAAUGCGCAGAUAUCAGGAGGAACACCGGUGGCGAAGGCGGGUCUCUGGGCCGUAACUGACGCUGAGGAGCGAAAGCGUGGGGAGCGAACAGG